rnacentral:rRNA from 1 species
CAAUAGCGUAUAUUAAAGUUGUUGCAGUUAAAAAGCUCGUAGUUGAACUUCAGGCCUGGCCGGGCGGUCUGCCUCACGGUAUGUACUGUCUGGCUGGGUCUUACCUCUUGGUGAGCCGGCAUGCCCUUCAUUGGGUGUGUCGGGGAACCAGGACUUUUACCUUGAGAAAAUUAGAGUGCUCAAAGCAGGCUUAUGCCCGAAUACAUUAGCAUGGAAUAAUAAAAUAGGACGUGCGGUUCUAUUUUGUUGGUUUCUAGAGUCGCCGUAAUGAUUAAUAGGGAUAGUUGGGGGCAUUAGUAUUCAGUUGCUAGAGGUGAAAUUCUUGGAUUUACUGAAGACUAACUACUGCGAAAGCAUUUGCCAAGGAUGUUUUCAUUAA